rnacentral:rRNA from 1 species
UACGUAGGGAGCAAGCGUUGUCCGGAAUCAUUGGGCGUAAAGCGCGCGUAGGUGGCUUCGUAAGUCCGUUGUGAAAGUCAAAGGCUCAACCUUUGAAAGCCGAUGGAUACUGCGGAGCUAGAGUACGGAAGAGGCGAGUGGAAUUCCUGGUGUAGCGGUGGAAUGCGCAGAUAUCAGGAAGAACACCGGUGGCGAAGGCGGCCUGCUGGGCAGUGGCUGACACUGAGGCGCGACAGCGUGGGGAGCAAACAGG